GGAAUAUUGCACAAUGGGCGCAAGCCUGAUGCAGCAACGCCGCGUGGGCGAUGAAGGCCUUCGGGUCGUAAAGCCCUUUUGUGGGGGAAGAUGAUGACGGUACCCCACGAAGAAGCCACGGCUCACUACGUGCCAGCAGCCGCGGUAAUACGUAGGGGGCGAGCGUUGUCCGGAUUUACUGGGCGUAAAGGGCGUGCAGGCGGUUCGUUAAGUUCGAGGUGAAAGCUCCCGGCUCAACUGGGAGAGGUCCCCGGAUACUGGCGGACUUGAGGGAGGCAGAGGAAAGUGGAAUUCCCGGUGUAGUGGUGAUAUGCGUAGAUAUCGGGAGGAACACCAGUGGCGAAGGCGGCUUUCUGGGCCUUACCUGACGCUGAGACGCGAAAGCGUGGGGAGCG
rnacentral:rRNA from 1 species